rnacentral:lncRNA from 1 species
CAACCAGCUUUGAAAAAUUGUAUCUCAAUACUUACUUAAAUUUUUGUGCUGAAAUUUGUUGUAAAAGGAACUAUACUAAGUUUGGUUUUAGGAAAAAUUAUACUUUUCAAUUUUAAAAUAUUAACUGAUUUUUAGUGAAUUUUUAAGUAUAAGGGGGUUUGCUGCCUAGGCAGCUCAAGUCGCCUUGCUUUGAAAACACACAUCUCGAAUGUCAAACCUCGGAUCACCAUUAAAUUUGGUAGAUAGGAGCAACUCUAUGUCAGCCUCAACCACGAAAAAAUUCAAUGUGGAAUUUUUAGCAAAUUUUUGAAUGACAAGGGAUCUACUGCCCUCAACUUGAUAUACUCUAAGUAAGUUUUUUUUUUCCCUAAUCACCC